UGUCUUCCCCAGUCCUUAGCACAUUGUUCUGCACAUAUUAGGUUUUUGAUAUAUACAUAUUGAUAGGGGAAAGAGAGAUGGACUUUCUAUCAGCUCUCAGGACAAGGGAGUGAUUGAGAGGAGAAUUUUUCUUUGGUUAAAUAAUUUUCUACCAGUCCUGAAGGCAUAAAAGGAAAUGCUUGGGAUUAAGGUGUGAACUAGGUUCAUCUUCAUUGUUACAUGGUCAAAUAAAUCUAUAUUUGCUUUUCCAUGAAUCUUAUCUCUGCUCUAAUGUGGAUUGCUUUGCAUGCUGUAAUAAUCUUGAUUUAUAAUAAUGCCUCCUAUCUCUGUAUUAUUGCCAUUCUAAGAAAAUGUCACAUUUUCUUCACUUUCAAAAGAGAAAUACAGAGAUCAGAGAGAGCCUACAUUGGAUCCUAGGUGUUAGAGAAAACAGAAUUUACAUGUAGCAAUCCAGGAAGUUUCCAAGGCAACACCAGCUUCUUAUGACAUCCUAAGAGAGGUCAUAAUUGUGGCAGGCAUGUCAACAUUGCUGGUUAAGCCUGUAACACCCUUUUUGGUUAGGAUGUGAACAUCAUGGCCUCACCUUUGGAUUCCAAAGCAGAUUCGACACAAGAGUUCUUAAAAAAACAGUACUUUUAUUGGCUUCUCAUCCUUUGGCAACAGCACACUCAUAUGCAGCUUGUUGAUUUGGCUGAAUCCUUCAUUCAGGAGCUUGGUGUUGCUCUCUGUGUGGCUCCUCCUGCAGUUCUUGGCUUCCAGAAGUCAACUCUAGGCAGUGCUCUCAGGAAAGCCGUGCUGAGAAGGAAACAAUGCUAUUUGGAGGGAUCCCCUGUUUCCAUACAUAUUUUCUCCAUUUUCCAUCUUUGAAUCUUCCCUGGGUUCCUGACAGCUCCAACAGAGGCAUUGUUGAUGAGUUAUGGCAGGUCUAGCCUGGAGUUGCAGAAGAAGACUUGGAAGUGGUGGUUGAAUGAGAGCUGUGUAACCAGGACCAUGGAGAGCCAAACAGUCUACCUUUUAGCUAUGAUCUUUGUUUCUGUUCUUAUGUCACCCUCCUCAUAUCUGCUUCCCGUACUUACCCUUCUCAUUGUCCCUUUAAGCUCUUUUCUUAGUCUUCUCUUCAUUGAAUAUAACCUUCAUUUUUCAUAGUAACUUACUCUGUCUCUAUAAAUGUGAAAAGAAAACACAACUCCUUCCCUUCCCUUCACAAACACCCCAUACAAUAAAAAAUCUUUGUAGGUUGUAUGCUUUUUAACU
rnacentral:lncRNA from 1 species